GGGGGGGGGCCGCGCCCUCCCCAGGCGGCGUCCGGGCAGCCCCCGCCACCCAUACGCGCCGCCAACCCCUGCCCCCCUAAGCCCGCCCUUUUCUUCUGGCCAGCACGUAUUUUUCCCCAGCCCCCUGGCGCAGAAAGUUUCACCUAUUCCGUUUUAAGCCCUCGGCCCUUUUCCGCCGCGGGGUUUCGAGUUUUUGUUCCCCUGCCAAAAGGGAGCGCCGCAAGCCCCAGCGACGGUUUCCGAGGCAAUCGUCGAUUUCCAGAGAGGGUCUGUUCCGGUAAAACAAAAAAAGGCCGGCCGCCAGAAGGCAGCAUCACUAAUGGCACGAUGCGCGCACAGAGCGCCACACGGAAAAAGGAGAUUUCACGCGACAAUGACGCGCAGAACGAGUGAUCUUGCGCCACCUUUGCCUUUCCCACACCCACGCACCUUCGGAGGCGCACCCGGCCCCGGUAGCCCAGCGCCAACGGCCAGGCUUCCGGAAUGAGAGAUCAGCGCGACGGAGGAACAAGAGGCCCCAACGAGAAGCAGACGAACGGAACAGGCUGGCAGCCCGGAGGGCCUGUGGUCGAGCAAAAAAAAAACACCCGCCGCCAUGGCACGCCCCCCCUCCACCCAGGCAGCCAAAAGGAACGCCUAGCCUCCCCCCCCCCUUUUCGCCUUUGCGGCCCGUUUUCUGCAAAGGAAAACGGUGGCAACCUAGCGCGCGAAACGGAAAAAAAAAACCGCUGUCACCGCAAAAAAUUGGCAGAGGAGUGCCUAAGACUAAAGGCAUCGGGGGGGGGGGCGCCACGCCCUGCCAUCGAAAACCCCGUCGGGGAAAACGAGGCCCAGCCCCGGUGGCGGGCCGUCGCCAGACCGCCACCCACAUCCCUUUUUUCCCCCGCCACCCUUUUCCCCAAG
rnacentral:misc_RNA from 1 species